UUUGUUUCUUUCUUCCUUCUUUUCUUUUGCUCUGUUUUCGGCUGGGAUAAGGGGAAGAAGAAAACAGAGCUGUUGAGAGAGAGACAGAGAGGGGGGAAAGAAAAGAAAAAGAAUCAGCGGGUGAGAUAGAGCGAGAGGGAGAGAGAGAGAGAGAGGAUCGAGCUGAGCAAACUCAAUGGAGAAGAAGAAGAGGAAGGAUAGGGUCGAGGAGAAUUCGUAGGUUCCGAGUUGGAUUGACGUUGAUGGUGGAUGAAGUUGAUCUUAUCUUUUCCCGUGAAGUUUGAUCAAGCUUUGUGGAGAAUCAGCCGAGUCUAGAGAUUCUGAGAAGCUUUUCUUUGGCCUGGAUCCUCCUUCUUUUCAUUAACUGGAUUUGGCUCUUGAUUUUGGUAAAUUUUCGUGAUUGUUGAUUGCUACGUUACCUUGGAGGAUCUGAUUGGUCCAUCGCGUAUUCAUGCAGAUUCUUUUCCAGUAAACGCUUGAGACAGGAGUUGCUUACGACUGGGGUUGGGAUCGGUUUUGUGUUCUAAUCUCAGCUAUUUGGUUUCAUACUCAGUAUGUGUUUAUUGGCGAGCUAUCAUAUUUGGUCAAAUGGUUGCCCCCAAUUUUGGUUGUGUUUUCUUCAUCAGAUUUAAGAGUCAGAUGGAUGAAGUUCAACGAAAUAGAUCUCAUGAUCAGUGAAGACUUUGGGUGAUUUGGAGCUUUUUGAAUGAUUAAUGGAUGCUGAAUGACUGAUCAUGCGUAAUGAAGCAAACAUGGGAUAGUUUAGUUUACUGCCGCUGAAAAAUUGAUGUUUAUAUAAUGUGAUGCUGAUUUUCUUGUUUCUUUGACCUUACUUCAUGCACAGACCUUUAUUUGGCUUGUAUCUUGAUGUUAUUUGCAUUUGGGCAUUCUUCUUUUAUCUGUUUCUUUCUUUUGUUUGCUGCCAGUAGGACCUUUCAUGGCGCGUGUCUUGCUGUUAUUUGCAUCUACGCAUUCUUCUUCUAUAUAUGUGUCUGUCUAUUGUUGAGCAUCAGCAGGAAAAUGUGCGUCUACUGAUCUGUUCAUUUAAGUUUUGUAAUUUUGCAGUGGAGGUGAGGAAAUUAAUGCAAGAUGGUACUAGCUACAAAGAUUUCAAUCACUUUAUGUUCACCAUGCAUGUUUUAUAUUUUAAACUCACCGACAUCCUAUUUCUGCUGAGGUUUCCAGUUAUAGUUGACUUUUGUAUUAGGAUAUUUCAGAGAGAAAUGAGGUUGAUCCUCUGUACCCUUUGGCCUAUAGCCAAUCCCCUGGAGCACCAUAUGGUUUUGUCUUUCUGGUAAGAAUUUGGCGGAUGAUAUUUAAGGUAUGGUACUAUAGGGCAGGUAAAUUUUAUUGCGGAGGAUUAUUAGGUUAUUUAUUGGGUAAUUAAUUUCUUGCCUCUUUAAGCACUGUGUAGCCAUCUGACUUUUAUCUUAAGCUAGAACUAUGUAACUCUGGUGACUUAAUAUAAGAGGGCUGCUAUUUGGGAGGUAUUAAGGAAUAUUAUUUCCCAAAUCUGCAAUUUUUUCAGGUUGCUAGCCUAGGAAGCAGUUUUCUGGAUGUUCUAAUGUUGAUUUCUUGUAGUCAUAGUUGAUUGUCUUCCCAUUGGAUAAGCGGAGCUAAAACAAGUUCUAGUUGUUGCUAUACUCAUGAUGGAUAAGAGCUGAGGAUAUUGAUUGUGCACUCUGAAGGUCAAGUUUGGUGAAUCAUUUUUUGGUGUUAGGAAUAAUAAUUUUGCAUGGAUAUAUGAGGUGAGAGGAUCUAGUUGCAAUUGUUUAUACUUGUGAUAUUAUUGUUUAUACCCAUGAGACCGCUGAUCCGGCGACAUAUAAAUUGGACGCCUAGACCGCUGAUCUGGCGAAAUACAAAAAGGGACACUCAGACCGCUGAUUCGGCGGGAUACAAAAAGGGACGUCUAGACCGCUGAUCCGGCGGGAUAUAAAAUGGACGCCUAGACUCCUACUGCCGGAGGAUAAUGGGCAACCCCUGCUUAUGAGAUAUGUUGACGAGAACAUGCAAAUAAAUUAUUUGAGAUGUGUGGGGUCACGGUUAUGUUACAACUCUGUUGCGAGGAAAUGCAACCUUCUGACUAUAUUGAUUGAUUGUGUUGUAUAUUGUUUGCCUAGUAUGAUUGUUGGAGAUGUGAUGAUUAUUGAGAUUGGUGAAGAUGUGAUGAUUCUUGAGAUUGUUUGAAAUUAUUUUGUGAAAGCCGUGUUGUUGCAAGAGUUGGAUACGUCAAGUCAUUGUGUUGUGAGUUGCUAUGGAUUGCUAAUGAAUGGAUAUUUGAUGUUUAAGUGAUAUUGGAUAUUAGAGAAAUGGUUGGAAGAGUUGUAUGUAUUUGUUAGUAGGAGUUAAAUUUAGUUACUAUAUUGAAUAUAAUUAUUAAUAUAGUUUGUAUAUAUAUAUAUAUAUACCGUAUAUGUGUGCGAUGAGUUGAUAGUUGAACUGGAUGUAAUUUUAUCAAUUAUUUAAAUAUUAGGUUGUUUGUAAUUAAAUAUUUAUUUAAUAAUAAUUCAUUUUGCUUUGGAA